GACGAACGCUGGCGGCGUGCUUAACACAUGCAAGUCGAACGGAAAGGCCCUGCUUUUGUGGGGUUCUCGAGUGGCGAACGGGUGAGUAACACGUGUGUAACCUGCCCUUGACUUUGGGAUAACUUCAGGAAACUGGGGCUAAUACCGUAUAGGAUCUCCUGCUGCAUGGUGGGGGUUGGAACGUUUCGGCGGUUGGGGAUGGACUCGCGGCUUAUCAGCUUGUUGGUGGGGUAGUGGCUUACCAAGGCUUUGACGGGUAGCCGGCCUGAGAGGGUGACCGGCCACAUUGGGACUGAGAUACGGCCCAGACUCCUACGGGAGGCAGCAGUGGGGAAUAUUGCACAAUGGGCGGAAGCCUGAUGCAGCAACGCCGCGUGCGGGAUGACGGCCUUCGGGUUGUAAACCGCUUUCGCCUGUGACGAAGCGUGAGUGACGGUAAUGGGUAAAGAAGCACCGGCUAACUACGUG
rnacentral:rRNA from 1 species